rnacentral:lncRNA from 1 species
GGGGGGCAGCUCGGUGUCUGGGGGCAGCCACGCAGGGUCUCCCUACCGCCUCAGGGGCAGUUUCAGUUCCCGUCCCAGGGUGUCUGGCCGGGCAGGCCUUUGGCCUGAGUUAAGAGAUGAGCAGGGGAGCACCUCGUCUGUGAGAGAGAACCGACGGAGGCCACGUUGGAGGGAGUCGAAGUCCUCCUCCGGCAUUUAGGGAGGAAGCUCGCCAGCUUCCAACCUCACCCAGUGGCCACAGCCCGCCUUCCUCGUGGCCAGGAAUGGUGCCCACUGCUACGUGGGAGACGGGCACCCAGGCCUGAGCGACGGGAGGUAGACGGGGCCCACCGCGCCCCUGGGCUGGGUGUAUGCAGGCCCCCCAGGGACCCACCUAGGCACCCAGGCCUGAGCGACGGGAUGUAGACGGGGCUCAUCUUGACCCCGGGUUGGGUCCACUCAGGCCCUCGGGGACCCACCGAGGCACCCAGGCCUGAGUGACGGGAUGCAGAUGGGGCCCACCGCGCCCCCGGGGCUGGGUCCAUGCAGGCCCCAGGGACCCACCGAGGCACCCAGGCCUGAGCGACGGGAUGUAGAUGGGGCCCACCGCGCCCCCUGGGCUGGGUCCACGCAGGCCCCCGGGGACCCACCUGCCAGCACCCAGAGGCCCUGACCAAUGGGCCCGCAGCCCCGGGUGCAGCUGCCAAGGAGGGAGACUCCACAUCCCCACAGCUCGUUGUCACCGGCCUGCUUUCCUAGGGCCCACAAACCCACUCUGCUGUCCUGCCCACGGCCUCCCGUGGAUUCACUACACCGCCAGCUCCCUGGUUUGCCUCAGGUCAGUCCCUUCAGUGCCCGUGCCAACUGCUCCCACCCCAUCAUGGCCCUGCAUCUGGGGGCCCUCAUCGGGCUGCGGAGACCCCCCAGGUGGAGACCCCACGUGGGGACACCACACACGUUGUUGCUCACUAAGAAGCCACUGUAUUUCUCAGCAGGCAGCCUCACCUCCAGACAUUCGCUUAUCUUCUCCUUCACACGGUUCCUUCCCUGGUGAUAAUACUCUAAGUCCCGCUACUUUCCUCUUUUUCUGAAAAUUAUAUAUUUGUUAUUUAUUUUUUAAUCAAAGGGAUAACUCAUGACUGCCUAACAAACAGAUUAGAAACUCCUCUAGAAAAUCGAGUUAACCUGGUUUGUUAACUGGUCAUACCAUACGACAAAACCCAGGAAUUAACAGGCUGGAUACGUCGAGAAAGAUCCUAACUUGUCACCAUCUAGACCCCAAGGCCUGACCUCUACCGCCUACCGGCUCGUACUCACCGACCUUCGUCCCAUGUUUUGGAACGUCCCAUGUCUUGGGAAGCUCUUCUUUCCAGUUGAUCUCUUAACUCUGACAAAUGACUCAAGGAGCAUAAUAUUCUGUGGUGGAAAUGCAAACUACUCCUCGAGCAAGAACUCCCGCAGCCUGGGCCACCCCACACCUGAGUCACCCCAGCACAGAUGGACCAAGCUAGCUUUACCUCAUUAGAAUACUAGAGUCUCUGCCAAGGAGGAGCACAGGCCUCAUUUACAUAACAUACAGCGUAUCACAGACGUGUUUCCUGGGGGUGCAUGUGCAACCUCCUGCUUGCCUCUACACACCCGACAGGGCUUCCCUGCCCAAACACCCAUCCUAACUCUAAAUCAAAGAAACCCGUUCACCCUUGCUCAGGGAGUCACAGCUUUGGAAGUUAUUCCCCGUGAUCCCCUUAUUUGCUACGAAUAAAGCGUAUUUGUGCGACAACUCCACCUGAUGUGGUUUGUAUCUGCGACUCACUCAGGAGUGAACUCAUGUGACUUCGGUUACAAAUUCACUCCUAAUGACCCUUUACUGGAGCCAGAGUGACCCAGAAGGCAGUACGCGUUGUAUUCACCAGGACUAACUAGAUAGAAGGGAGUUAAUACCAACGGCAAGAUGUGGGGAAUGUUUUGGAAGUAACCGAAGAUCUAGAUCUCUCCAUGAACAAAAGCAAAGGAAAAUGGUCUCAUGAUUAAGAAACUCUGGUUCCAGUGUUUCUUGAGGAAGUGGGAUGCCGUAAAGAAAGGCCUUACAUGGCGGUUACAGGAAAUGCCCUACCUGGUCACUGGGACAAAAAGGCAACUCCUUCAAAGAAUCUGGUUCCACGAUGCCCUAGAGGGCCAAAUCUUGGGAGAAGUUCAAAGAAUUUACUAUUAAAUAUGAGGCAUUCCCUCCAGAAUUAGGGAAAAAAGCUCACUUAAUAAGGACAAUAAUCAAUACUUGUCUCAUGACAUUCACCUCAUUGCCUCACCAAUCCUCAACCAUUAUCUUAGGGACUUGCCUCACUCAGUCCAGUAACUUCUGUGCCUUUAAAGAACUGCCUUAAAGCACGUGGGUUCACACGGCAAAAUCCUAUAAAUGCUCUUUCCUUACUUUCUCUUUCUGAGUAACCACCUAGGCUUUGUCAAGGUAGCUUCCCUUGCUGGUGUAAGUUUGAUAAACCCAACUUUGCUCAACAGCUGUUUUCUGGGAUCUCCACAAAAUUCACUUAACUGGAGCCAUGAAGCAGUAUGUGGUUUCUCUAAAGCUUAUUUGCCACUAUUAACCAGAGUGUUUAAAUAAUCUGUUUCCUGGAAGUGUGUAAAGACACUCCGAGGAGUAUUUACUCUUCUAGGGCCUUUUAGUUCGAGUAAUUGGUAAGGUAAGGUAUGGAAAGAUAAUAUAUGCAAAAUGCUUAAUGCCUAAUAGAGUUCCUGGAACGACAUGGAUGUUCCAUGAAUGUUAGCUACAUUAAAAUCCCGUAAUUCCCCCAGUUCUUCUUUCCUUGGACCUCUGAGCAGACUGCAACCUGCUCAGAUGAGGGAGGAAUUCCAUUUUUUUACAUUUGCCCUCCUUAUCCCUUAAGGCAACUCUUUCUUGGGCAGAACUGAGUGCAAGGCCUCCUUUCAGGGACACUUGAUUUUUAGCAAUGGAAAGUGAAAAAUACCUUGCCCCCCAAUAAUUGAGCCCAUUUCCUUCUUUGCCAUUCGUGCCAAAUAAAUGAACAAACCUAACGAUUUCUCAAAAGCAUGUUGGAUGGGGCUGUGGCUAGAAGGGAAUCUUGAUUAAGUUAUAAGGUUAAUGAAAUUAGAAAUCUGGAGGAAACCUCGGUGUAUCUUUAAAGACAGAGCUUUGGGAUCAUGAACAUAAAAGGUCACUUAGGAAGGGGGGGGUGCCUGGGGAAGUUUCCCAUAACGUCUCAUACAUCAGAGACCAAAAGACACCAAAAACACUGCAGUAUCUGCAUCAGUUCUUAAAAUUCUCCUUUCUGAGACAGCAUAUCCUAAAUGCCAACUCUGUGUUAUUAUAAAACUCAAAUCUACUCUGAAAUUUAAAGAGGAAGCAGAUGAUGUAUAAAUGUGUGAAUAAAAUCUUCCAAGGCAGGAAAAAAAUGUUUAAAACUAAAAAAAAAAAAA